CGUUCACGGGUGACCAGCAAAGUCACGCGGGGAUCAGAAUUUGUCACCUCCCCGCCGGCGCGCGGCAUUGCGCGCCUCCUCAUCUAAAUAGGGCAUCGGGACGGUGAUCUGGGUGCUUUCUAUAUUUAUUCUCCUGUCCCAAAGAGCCCGGUCCGCCCCUUCCGUGCGCGGACUUUAUAAGAACGACAGAGGUUCGGCACUGGUUUGGCACAAGACUUCCAGAGCAGGACAUGUAGCGCACAAAAUGUAGCCAGUGUCCAGGGCUGCAAACAUGUGAGAUUUAACGAAGACGGGGGUCUUUAAGUGGUUUUUACAGCUGUUGUCUUCCCCUGAAGCCCCACUCUUCCACUCUGAGGAGUAAAUGAUAGAUCCAGAUCAUGGGGAGACAAUACAGGGAUGUUUCUCAUCCUCACCUUAUGAAAGGUCUGGAGAUGGCCAGGAUGGUCCUGAUGAACCAUGUGGGAUGAACAAUGAGC